rnacentral:rRNA from 1 species
AGCAGAACGACCCGCGAACACGUGAACAACACCGGGGAAGCGGGCUUGCCCGUAACCCCUUGUCGUCGGCGCAGGCGCCUCCCCGUCCACUCGCUGGGUGGGAGGGUGCGUGCGUUGUUCGGCACCAAACGAACCCCGGCGCGAUCCGCGCCAAGGAAAACAUAACUCGAAGGGCAGUUCGUCCCCCGUCGCCCCGUUCGCGGUGCGCGCGCGGUUGGGCGGUUGCUUCUUAGUGAAAAACACAAACGACUCUCGGCAACGGAUAUCUCGGCUCUCGCAUCGAUGAAGAACGUAGCGAAAUGCGAUACUUGGUGUGAAUUGCAGAAUCCCGUGAACCAUCGAGUCUUUGAACGCAAGUUGCGCCCGAAGCCGUUAGGCCGAGGGCACGUCUGCAUGGGCGUCACGCAUCGUCGCCCCCCUUAACCUAAUUGUUUGAAAGAACGAGCGGGGAAAGGGGGAGCGGAUACUGGCCUCCCGUGCCUUUUCGGCGCGGAUGGCUGAAAACGGAGUCCCCCGCGAAGGACGCACGACAAGUGGUGGUUGAUAACAAGGCCCUCGCGUCCCGUCGUGCGCACGUCCUGCGCUGGGCUGGCUCUCGUGACCCUGACGCGUCUGGGCUUAGGCCCGAGGCGCUCCGACCGCGACCCCAUGUCAGGCGGGACUACCCGCUGAGUUUAAGCA